UACAGGAGGGAUGGAUUCCAUUCCCAGCACCUCAUAAACCUAGUAUGACGUGCAUGCCUCGUGUAUGCCUGAAUGCCUGGCACUUGGGAAGAGGAGAUAAGAAGAAUCAAGAAUUUAAGGCCAUUUUGCUACCACGUAGCAAGUAUGAGGCCACCCUGGUUACACGAGAUCUUUAUCUUCAAAGAAUCCGGAAAGCUUCUGGAAUUUGGCCUCGUACCUGCCGGCAAGAGUUCUCCCAUGUAACCACACUCCCAGCCAAGCUUUGCUUCUGAACUACUGGAGUGAAACCAUAGCUGCCACAUCAGAAGUUAGAAAUGUAAUCAGGAACUUUUCACAUCACUUAAAAAUGGCUACAAGCACUGACCAGGAACGGGCGUCAUCGCUCCUGACAUCUCUCCAGAGGAUACUGUUAUGGCCGGUGAGCUCAGGAAACACAUGUGCAGCGUGGCAGUCAGAGGCAGCUGGGUCCAGGGGCGCCAGUCUCCAGGACAUGAACAGAUGGACAGGUUUGCUGAAGUGUCUUCUAGAACAGCCUCCCCAUUAGGUGAGGGAGCUCUCUCUUAGGCUGAGAAUUUCCUAGGGGUAAGAACUUGUGGCUUGGCUUGUUCUAUCCCUCUGAGCUCUCAGUUUUCACCCCAAUAUCUGGCUCCAGGUUUUUUAUUAAUAAGACCAUUUAGCUAUUCAUAUUACAUCUCCUUAGUGAGUGGUUUUUGCUCCUAGGACCUCACUUUGAGCAGUCAGAGUCAGUUUGUCUCUUUUAGUUCAAAGUGGCUUACAUU